rnacentral:rRNA from 1 species
CCUACGGGAGGCAGCCGUGAGGAAUAUUGGUCAAUGGGCGCGAGCCUGAACCAGCCAAGUCGCGUGAGGGAAGACGGCCCUACGGGUUGUAAACCUCUUUUGCCGGGGAGCAACGGGCGCCACGUGUGGCGCCACUGAGAGUACCCGGAGAAACAGCAUCGGCUAACUCCGUGCCAGCAGCCGCGGUAAUACGGGGGAUGCGAGCGUUAUCCGGAUUUCUUGGGUGUAAGGGGUGCGUAGGCGGAGCGUUAAGUCAGUGGUAAAAUUGAGGGGCUCAACCCCUUCCCGCCAUUGAAACUGGCGCUCUUGAGUGGAAGAGAAGUAUGCGGAAGGCGUGGUGUAGCGGUGAAAUGCAUAGAUAGCACGCAGAACCCCGAUUGCGAAGGCAGCAUGCCGGCUUCCGACUGACGCUGAAGCACGAAAGCGUGGGGAUCGAACAGGAUUAGAUACCCCGGUAGUC